rnacentral:rRNA from 1 species
GAUGAACGCUGGCGGCAGGCUUAAUACAUGCAAGUCGAGCGGCAGCGCAGUGCAGCAGUAGGGUGGCGGCGAGCGGCAAACGGGUGCGGAACAUGUAUGCAACCUACCUAUAACUGAGGAAUAUUCCGCCGAAAGGGGGUUUAAUACGUCGGAACUUCAUGAAGCGUGAUCGGGUUUUUAAUAUUUCGCCGGCGGUUGUUGAUGGGCGUGCGCCUGAUUAUGUUGGUGGGGUGGUAACGUACCACCGAUCCUGCGAUCAGUAGCUGGUGUGAGAGGACGAGCAGUCAGACGGGCACUGAGACACGGGGCCGACUACUACGGGAGGCAGCAGUCAGGAAGAUUGGUCAAUGGACGCAAGUCUGAACCAGCAAUGCCGCGUGAAGGAUGACGGUCCUCUGGAUUGUAACCUUCUUUUGAAUGGGACGAAACCUCUUUUUCUUGAGAGACUGACGGUACCAUUAGAAUAAGCACCGGCUAACUCCGUG